UGCGCGCUGACGUCAGGUGCGCGCCCCUGUGCUCCGCCGUGGGGAGCCCGCGCGGUGAUGGCGCGCGCUUCCCCGGUCCGGUGGGAGAGCUGAGCACACCACGGGAACUGAAUGAUGCCACAUGUUAACCUUUUGAACCUGUUUGCUCUUCCAUGAAGACGCAGUCAUUGUGUAUACAAUGAGUCUUCCUCAAGAAGUUCAUGGGACAUGGUUCUGGUACUGUCGCUGAGACACGUGAAGGUCGGAGACUUGGUGUGGAGGCUGGCUCGGCACUGGUGGACGCUGGGAUGGAUUCGUCCUCGUCCGCGGCGGGCUUGGGCGCGGUGGACCCUCAGUUGCAGCAUUUCAUCCAGGUGGAGACCCAGAAGCAGCGCUUCCA